rnacentral:misc_RNA from 1 species
GGGGGAGCUCAGAAAUUCUCUUGGAGAUCUCUAGUUUAUCCACACCAAGUUCCUUCUCGACCAAUGAUUCGUUUGAAGGGUGCUUACUACUUCGUCUCCUUGUUGAUCCAACCCGGUGGUACUCAGUGGAUGAGCUUGCUAUCAUAGGAGCCUUGCCAACCGCCCGAUUGUAGCUGCCAUCUUGAUCAGUUGAUUCCCAUAGAUGAAGCAUCCGAU